rnacentral:rRNA from 1 species
AUUGAACGCCGGCGGCAUGCUUUACACAUGCAAGUCGAACGGUAACAGGCCGCAAGGUGCUGACGAGUGGCGAACGGGUGAGUAAUGCAUCGGAACGUGCCCAGUCGUGGGGGAUAACGCAGCGAAAGCUGCGCUAAUACCGCAUACGAUCUAUGGAUGAAAGCGGGGGACCGUAAGGCCUCGCGCGAUUGGAGCGGCCGAUGUCAGAUUAGGUAGUUGGUGGGGUAAAGGCUCACCAAGCCAACGAUCUGUAGCUGGUCUGAGAGGACGACCAGCCACACUGGGACUGAGACACGGCCCAGACUCCUACGGGAGGCAGCAGUGGGGAAUUUUGGACAAUGGGCGCAAGCCUGAUCCAGCAAUGCCGCGUGCAGGAAGAAGGCCUUCGGGUUGUAAACCGCUUUUGUCAGGGAAGAAAAGGUUCUGGCUAAUACCUGGGACUCAUGACGGUACCUGAAGAAUAAGCACCGGCUAACUACGUGCCAGCAGCCGCGGUAAGAC